CACGCCGCGUGAGUGAUGAAGGCCUUCGGGUCGUAAAACUCUGUUUGUCAGGGAAGAACAAGUACCGGAGUAACUGCCGGUACCUUGACGGUACCUGACCAGAAAGCCACGGCUAACUACGUGCCAGCAGCCGCGGUAAUACAA
rnacentral:rRNA from 1 species